rnacentral:rRNA from 1 species
AGUGAACGCUGGCGGUAGGCCUAACACAUGCAAGUCGAACGGCAGCACAGUAAGAGCUUGCUCUUACGGGUGGCGAGUGGCGGACGGGUGAGGAAUACAUCGGAAUCUACUUUUUCGUGGGGGAUAACGUAGGGAAACUUACGCUAAUACCGCAUACGACCUACGGGUGAAAGCAGGGGAUCUUCGGACCUUGCGCGAUUGAAUGAGCCGAUGUCGGAUUAGCUAGUUGGCGGGGUAAAGGCCCACCAAGGCGACGAUCCGUAGCUGGUCUGAGAGGAUGGUCAGCCACACUGGAACUGGGACACGGUCCAGACUCCUACGGGAGGCAGCAGUGGGGAAUAUUGGACAAUGGGGGCAAGCCUGAUCCAGCCAUACCGCGUGGGUGAAGAAGGCCUUCGGGUUGUAAAGCCCUUUUGUUGGGAAAGAAAAGCAGCAGGUUAAUACCCCGCUGUUCUGACGGUACCCAAAGAAUAAGCACCGGCUAACUUCGUG